UGGGGAAUUUUGGACAAUGGGGGAAACCCUGAUCCAGCCAUCCCGCGUGUGCGAUGAAGGCCUUCGGGUUGUAAAGCACUUUUGGCAGGAAAGAAACGUCGCGGGUUAAUACCCCGCGAAACUGACGGUACCUGCAGAAUAAGCACCGGCUAACUACGUGCCAGCAGCCGCGGUAAUACGUAGGGUGCAAGCGUUAAUCGGAAUUACUGGGCGUAAAGCGUGCGCAGGCGGUUCGGAAAGAAAGAUGUGAAAUCCCAGAGCUUAACUUUGGGACUGCAUUUUUAACUACCGGGCUAGAGUGUGUCAGAGGGAGGUGGAAUUCCGCGUGUAGCAGUGAAAUGCGUAGAUAUGCGGAGGAACACCGAUGGCGAAGGCAGCCUCCUGGGAUAACACUGACGCUCAUGCACGAAAGCGUGGGGAGCAAACAGGAUUAGAUACCCUGGUAGUCCACGCCCUAAACGAUGUCAACUAGCUGUUGGGGCCUUCGGGCCUUGGUAGCGCAGCUAACGCGUGAAGUUGACCGCCUGGGGAGUACGGUCGCAAGAUUAAAACUUAAAUGAAUUGAC
rnacentral:rRNA from 1 species